GCCUCAGUAGCUCAGGGGAUAGAGCAACCCUCUCCUAAAGGGUAGGUCGUAGGUUCGAAUCCUAUCUGGGGCACCA
rnacentral:tRNA from 2 species